rnacentral:rRNA from 1 species
AUUGAACGCUGGCGGCAGGCCUAACACAUGCAAGUCGAGCGGAGCGGCGGACGGGUGAGUAAUGCCUAGGAAUCUGCCUGGUCGUGGGGGAUAACGUCCGGAACCGGUCGCUAAUACCGCUUACUCUCAGCUGAGCCUAGGUCGGAUUAGCUAGUUGUUGGGGUAAAGGCCGACCAAGGCGACGAUCCGUAUCUGGUCUGAGAGGAUGAUCAGGCACACUGGAACUGAGACACGGUCCAGACUCCUACGGGAGGCAGCAGUGGGGAAUAUUGGACAAUGGGCGAAAGCCUGAUCCAGCCAUGACGCGUGUGUGAAGAAGGGCUUCGGAUUGUAAAGCACUUUAAGUUGGGAGGCGUUACCAACAGAAUAAGCACCGGCUAACUCCGUGCCAGCAGCCGCGGUAAUUC